AAACUGACAACGCCAUGGCUAAAAAUGAAAAAGAAAAACAGAAAAACAAUAGUACACAUGACACAACAUAGAAAACUAAAGAAUAAACAACACGAACCCCACCAAAAACUAGGGGUGAUCUCAGGUGCUCCGGAAGGGUAAGCAGAUCCUGCUCCACAUGUGGCACCCGUCGUGUUGCUUAUGUGAUUACAAAUCCGGUAAAUAGUCUAAUUCGGUAGGUCAC
rnacentral:lncRNA from 1 species